rnacentral:rRNA from 1 species
UGGGGAAUUUUUCCGCAAUGGGCGAAAGCCUGACGGAGCAAUGCCGCGUGGAGGUGGAAGGCCUACGGGUCGUCAACUUCUUUUCUCGGAGAAGAAACAAUGACGGUAUCUGAGGAAUAAGCAUCGGCUAACUCUGUGCCGG